GAUGAACGCUGGCGGCGUGCUUAACACAUGCAAGUCGAACGAUGAAGCCCAGCUUGCUGGGUGGAUUAGUGGCGAACGGGUGAGUAACACGUGAGUAACCUGCCCUUAACUCUGGGAUAAGCCUGGGAAACUGGGUCUAAUACCGGAUAGGAGCGUCCACCGCAUGGUGGGUGUUGGAAAGAUUUAUCGGUUUUGGAUGGACUCGCGGCCUAUCAGCUUGUUGGUGAGGUAAUGGCUCACCAAGGCGACGACGGGUAGCCGGCCUGAGAGGGUGACCGGCCACACUGGUACUGAGACACGGCCCAGACUCCUACGGGAGGCAGCAGUGGGGAAUAUUGCACAAUGGGCGCAAGCCUGAUGCAGCGACGCCGCGUGAGGGAUGACGGCCUUCGGGUUGUAAACCUCUUUCAGUAGGGAAGAAGCGAAAGUGACGGUACCUGCAGAAGAAGCACCGGCUAACUACGUG
rnacentral:rRNA from 1 species